rnacentral:tRNA from 1 species
GCCCUCAUAGCUCAGCCGGCAGAGCGCAUUCUUGGUAAGAAUGAGGUCAUGGGUUCAAAUCCCAUUGAGGGCU